rnacentral:rRNA from 1 species
UGGGGAAUAUUGCACAAUGGGGGAAACCCUGAUGCAGCAACGCCGCGUGAGCGAAGAAGGCCUUUGGGUCGUAAAGCUCUGUCCUAAGGGAAGAAGAAGUGACGGUACCUUAGGAGGAAGCCCCGGCUAACUACGUGCCAGCAGCCGCGGUAAUACGUAGGGGGCGAGCGUUAUCCGGAAUUAUUGGGCGUAAAGGGUACGUAGGCGGUUCAGUAAGCAUGAGGUGAAAGGCAAUAGCUUAACUAUUGUAAGCCUUGUGAACUGUUGGACUUGAGUGCAGGAGAGGAAAGCGGAAUUCCUAGUGUAGCGGUGAAAUGCGUAGAUAUUAGGAGGAACACCAGUGGCGAAGGCGGCUUUCUGGACUGUAACUGACGCUGAGGUACGAAAGCGUGGGGAGCAAACAGGAUUAGAUACCCUGGUAGU